AGUGAACGCUGGCGGUAGGCCUAAUACAUGCAAGUCGAACGGCAGCACAGUAAGAGCUUGCUCUUACGGGUGGCGAGUGGCGGACGGGUGAGGAAUACAUCGGAAUCUACUUUUUCGUGGGGGAUAACGUAGGGAAACUUACGCUAAUACCGCAUACGACCUACGGGUGAAAGCAGGGGAUCUUCGGACCUUGCGCGAUUGAAUGAGCCGAUGUCGGAUUAGCUAGUUGGCGGGGUAAAGGCCCACCAAGGCGACGAUCCGUAGCUGGUCUGAGAGGAUGAUCAGCCACACUGGAACUGAGACACGGUCCAGACUCCUACGGGAGGCAGCAGUGGGGAAUAUUGGACAAAGGGCGCAAGCCUGAUCCAGCCAUACCGCGUGGGUGAAGAAGGCCUUCGGGUUGUAAAGCCCUUUUGUUGGGAAAGAAAAGCAGCAGGUUAAUACCCCGCUGUUCUGGCGGUACCCAAAGAAUAAGCACCGGCUAACUUCGUG
rnacentral:rRNA from 1 species